GGUGGCUCAGUGGUAGAGCACUUGCCUUGCAUGCAUGAGGCCCUGAGUUCGAUUCCUAGUACCA
rfam:Dipodomys ordii contig_42231, whole genome shotgun sequence.